UACGUAGGUGGCAAGCGUUGUCCGGAAUUAUUGGGCGUAAAGCGCGCGCAGGCGGUCCUUUAAGUCUGAUGUGAAAGCCCACGGCUCAACCGUGGAGGGUCAUUGGAAACUGGGGGACUUGAGUGCAGAAGAGGAAAGCGGAAUUCCACGUGUAGCGGUGAAAUGCGUAGAGAUGUGGAGGAACACCAGUGGCGAAGGCGGCUUUCGGGUCUGUAACUGACGCUGAGGCGCGAAAGCGUGGGGAGCAAACAGG
rnacentral:rRNA from 1 species